CACAGUGAAUUGACAGCG
rnacentral:rRNA from 1 species